UAAAGUAGAGUCCAACUGCUCCCUGGACCCUCUGCAGUACCUCAACACUGAUCAAACCCAGGCCACGGUCAAGCUGGCUGCAGGACACAAGUUUGACAGAGAUGUUGAACUGCUGAUUUAUUACAAAGACGCCCACCAGCCCACUGCUGUGGUGGAGGCAGGACAGGCCUCUGCUGAGCCGGGACAGUCCUCUGCUCCUGUUGAAGAGUUUACCAAUGGGCUGCUAUUCAAACAUUUUACAGUUUGGGGUCUCGUUGUGAACACAUCUUCCCGUGUUUCUCUUUUGGGAUUGGGGAAGGGGCCAGCUCUGCUCUCAUC